UGGGGAAUAUUGCACAAUGGAGGGAACUCUGAUGCAGCGACGCCGCGUGAGUGAUGAAGGAAUUCGUUUCGUAAAACUCUGUUCUAUGGGAAGAAAAGGACUGUACCAUAGGAGAAAGCUCCGGCUAAAUACGUGCCAGCAGCCGCGGUAAUACGUAUGGAGCGAGCGUUGUCCGGAAUUAUUGGGCGUAAAGGGUGCGCAGGCGGCUUUACAAGUUGGAUGUGAAAUAUUGUGGCUCAACCACAAACGUGCAUCCAAAACUGCAAAGCUUGAGUUAAGGAGAGGUAAGUGGAAUUCCUAGUGUAGCGGUGGAAUGCGUAGAUAUCAGGAGGAAUACCGGUGGCGAAGGCGACUUACUGGACUUAAACUGACGCUCAGGCACGAAAGCGUGGGGAGCAAACAGG
rnacentral:rRNA from 1 species